UACGUAGGGUGCGAGCGUUGUCCGGAAUUACUGGGCGUAAAGAGCUUGCAGGCGGUUUGUCGCGUCUGCUGUGAAAAUCCGGGGCUCAACCCCGGACUUGCAGUGAGUACGGGCAGACUAGAGUGUGGUAGGGGAGACUGGAAUUCCUGGUGUAGCGGUGGAAUGCGCAGAUAUCAGGAGGAACACCGAUGGCGAAGGCAGGUCUCUGGGCCACUACUGACGCUGAGAAGCGAAAGCAUGGGGAGCGAACAGG
rnacentral:rRNA from 1 species